rnacentral:rRNA from 1 species
GAUGAACGCUAGCGGCAGGCUUAAUACAUGCAAGUCGUGGGGCAGCAGGGGUAGCAAUACCCGCUGGCGACCGGCAAACGGGUGCGGAACACGUACGCAACCUUCCUUUAACUGGAGAAUAGCCCCUCGAAAGAGGGAUUAAUACUCCGUAACAUAUUGAUAAGGCAUCUUAUUAAUAUUAUAGCUCCGGCGGUUAAAGAUGGGCGUGCGACUGAUUAGAUAGUUGGCGGGUAACGCCACAAGUCUGCGAUCAGUAACUGGUGUGAGAGCACGACCAGUCACACGGGCACU